rnacentral:rRNA from 1 species
CUUUCCGUAAGGGUGACCUGCGGAAGGAUCAUUACCGAGUGCGGGUCUUUAUGGCCCA